rnacentral:rRNA from 1 species
GGUUUAAUUCGAAGCAACGCGAGAACCUUACCAGGUCUUGACAUCCCGAUGCUAUUUCUAGAGAUAGAAAGUUACUUCGGUACAUCGGUGACAGGUGGUGCAUGGUUGUCGUCAGCUCGUGUCGUGAGAUGUUGGGUUAAAGUCCCGCAACGAGCGCAACCCCUAUUGUUAGUUGCCAUCAUUCAGUUGGGCACUCUAGCGAGACUGCCGGUAAUAAACCGGA